AAGAAGAAAAAAAAAUAGAAGAUAAGGAGGAGGAAAGGCAACAGCCAAAGUACACAAGGAGAGUUGGGGAAAAAGCUGGUGCCGCAAAAAACAAGCUUUUUCCAGCCAAUUUUUGUUUCAAAUUUCAAGGUAAUUGAAGAAGUUGUACGGAUUGCUCGUGGGGACGCGUUUGGUAUUUCGGCACAAGUAUUAGACAGCAGUUGACGCGAGCGAGGAUUUCGCUAAUUAGAGUACACGAGUUGAUAGUUCCUAGUGAGCCCCGCACUUUUUCGCGUGGGUGAUGAGUUUAUUUAUUCAUUAUCGUUCUUUCCUUAUGAACUCUUAGAGUUGCUCCAUAGUCAUUUUUAUUAGCUUCAUGAGUAUUCAUUCGUUAUAUUGGACUAGUUACUAGUAUUGCACUUCUUUCCGUAUUUUUGAAAUAAGUUUAGUACUAUUAUGUUG